GCGCAGCAGGCGAGAAAACUUUACAAUGUGCGAAAGCACGAUAAGGGAACUCUGAGUGCUUCCUAAGGAGGCUGUUCUGAUGUCUAAAAAGCAACAGAAGUAAGGGCUGGGUAAGACCGGUGCCAGCCGCCGCGGUAACACCGGCAGCCCAAGUGGUAGCCACGUUUAUUGGGUCUAAAGCGUUCGUAGCCGGCCAGGUAAGUUCCUUGGUAAAUUUAGCCGCUUAACGGUUAAGCUUUCAGGGAAUACUGCUUGGCUUGGGACUGGGAGAGGUCAGAGGUACUCCGGGGGUAGGGGUGAAAUCUAUUAAUCCCUGGGGGACCACCGGUAGCGAAGGCGUCUGACCAGACCAGGUCCGACGGUGAGGGACGAAGGCUAGGGGCGCGAACCGGAUUAGAUACCCCUGUAGU
rnacentral:rRNA from 1 species